UAGUUACUAUUUUAUUGUUGUGAAGAG
rnacentral:piRNA from 2 species